UCAAGUGAAGAAGCGCAUACGGUGGAUGCCUUGGCAGUCAGAGGCGAUGAAAGACGUGGUAGCCUGCGAAAAGCUUCGGGGAGUCGGCAAACAGACUUUGAUCCGGAGAUCUCUGAAUGGGGGAACCCACCUAGGAUAACCUAGGUAUCUUGUACUGAAUCCAUAGGUGCAAGAGGCGAACCAGGGGAACUGAAACAUCUAAGUACCCUGAGGAAAAGAAAUCAACCGAGAUUCCCUUAGUAGUGGCGAGCGAACGGGGAUUAGCCCUUAAGCUUCAUUGAUUUUAGCGGAACGCUCUGGAAAGUGCGGCCAUAGUGGGUGAUAGCCCCGUACGCGAAAGGAUCUUUGAAGUGAAAUCGAGUAGGACGGAGCACGAGAAACUUUGUCUGAACAUGGGGGGACCAUCCUCCAAGGCUAAAUACUACUGACUGACCGAUAGUGAACCAGUACCGUGAGGGAAAGGCGAAAAGAACCCCGGAGAGGGGAGUGAAAUAGAACCUGAAACCGUAUGCGUACAAGCAGUGGGAGCCUACUUGUUAGGUGACUGCGUACCUUUUGUAUAAUGGGUCAGCGACUUAUAUUCAGUGGCAAGCUUAACCGUAUAGGGUAGGCGUAGCGAAAGCGAGUCUUAAUAGGGCGUUUAGUCGCUGGGUAUAGACCCGAAACCGGGCGAUCUAUCCAUGAGCAGGUUGAAGGUUAGGUAACACUGACUGGAGGACCGAACCCACUCCCGUUGAAAAGGUAGGGGAUGACUUGUGGAUCGGAGUGAAAGGCUAAUCAAGCUCGGAGAUAGCUGGUUCUCCUCGAAAGCUAUUUAGGUAGCGCCUCAUGUAUCACUCUGGGGGGUAGAGCACUGUUUCGGCUAGGGGGUCAUCCCGACUUACCAAACCGAUGCAAACUCCGAAUACCCAGAAGUGCCGAGCAUGGGAGACACACGGCGGGUGCUAACGUCCGUCGUGAAAAGGGAAACAACCCAGACCGCCAGCUAAGGUCCCAAAGUUGUGGUUAAGUGGUAAACGAUGUGGGAAGGCUUAGACAGCUAGGAGGUUGGCUUAGAAGCAGCCAUCCUUUAAAGAAAGCGUAAUAGCUCACUAGUCGAGUCGGCCUGCGCGGAAGAUGUAACGGGGCUCAAACCACACACCGAAGCUGCGGGUGUCACGUAAGUGACGCGGUAGAGGAGCGUUCUGUAAGCCUGUGAAGGUGAGUUGAGAAGCUUGCUGGAGGUAUCAGAAGUGCGAAUGCUGACAUGAGUAACGACAAUGGGUGUGAAAAACACCCACGCCGAAAGACCAAGGGUUCCUGCGCAACGUUAAUCGACGCAGGGUUAGUCGGUUCCUAAGGCGAGGCUGAAAAGCGUAGUCGAUGGGAAACAGGUUAAUAUUCCUGUACUUCUGGUUACUGCGAUGGAGGGACGGAGAAGGCUAGGCCAGCUUGGCGUUGGUUGUCCAAGUUUAAGGUGGUAGGCUGAAAUCUUAGGUAAAUCCGGGGUUUCAAGGCCGAGAGCUGAUGACGAGUCGUCUUUUAGAUGACGAAGUGGUUGAUGCCAUGCUUCCAAGAAAAGCUUCUAAGCUUCAGGUAACCAGGAACCGUACCCCAAACCGACACAGGUGGUCGGGUAGAGAAUACCAAGGCGCUUGAGAGAACUCGGGUGAAGGAACUAGGCAAAAUGGCACCGUAACUUCGGGAGAAGGUGCGCCGGCUAGGGUGAAGGAUUUACUCCGUAAGCUCUGGCUGGUCGAAGAUACCAGGCCGCUGCGACUGUUUAUUAAAAACACAGCACUCUGCAAACACGAAAGUGGACGUAUAGGGUGUGACGCCUGCCCGGUGCCGGAAGGUUAAUUGAUGGGGUUAGCGCAAGCGAAGCUCUUGAUCGAAGCCCCGGUAAACGGCGGCCGUAACUAUAACGGUCCUAAGGUAGCGAAAUUCCUUGUCGGGUAAGUUCCGACCUGCACGAAUGGCGUAACGAUGGCGGCGCUGUCUCCACCCGAGACUCAGUGAAAUUGAAAUCGCUGUGAAGAUGCAGUGUAUCCGCGGCUAGACGGAAAGACCCCGUGAACCUUUACUGUAGCUUUGCACUGGACUUUGAGCCUGCUUGUGUAGGAUAGGUGGGAGGCUUUGAAGCGUGGACGCCAGUUCGCGUGGAGCCAUCCUUGAAAUACCACCCUGGCAUGCUUGAGGUUCUAACUCUGGUCCGUAAUCCGGAUCGAGGACAGUGUAUGGUGGGCAGUUUGACUGGGGCGGUCUCCUCCUAAAGAGUAACGGAGGAGUACGAAGGUGCGCUCAGACCGGUCGGAAAUCGGUCGCAGAGUAUAAAGGCAAAAGCGCGCUUGACUGCGAGACAGACACGUCGAGCAGGUACGAAAGUAGGUCUUAGUGAUCCGGUGGUUCUGUAUGGAAGGGCCAUCGCUCAACGGAUAAAAGGUACUCCGGGAUAACAGGCUGAUACCGCCCAAGAGUUCAUAUCGACGGCGGUGUUUGGCACCUCGAUGUCGGCUCAUCACAUCCUGGGGCUGAAGCCGGUCCCAAGGGUAUGGCUGUUCGCCAUUUAAAGUGGUACGCGAGCUGGGUUUAGAACGUCGUGAGACAGUUCGGUCCCUAUCUGCCGUGGACGUUUGAGAUUUGAGAGGGGCUGCUCCUAGUACGAGAGGACCGGAGUGGACGAACCUCUGGUGUUCCGGUUGUCACGCCAGUGGCAUUGCCGGGUAGCUAUGUUCGGAAAAGAUAACCGCUGAAAGCAUCUAAGCGGGAAACUUGCCUCAAGAUGAGAUCUCACUGGGAACUUGAUUCCCCUGAAGGGCCGUCGAAGACUACGACGUUGAUAGGCUGGGUGUGUAAGCGUUGUGAGGCGUUGAGCUAACCAGUACUAAUUGCCCGUGAGGCUUGACCAU
rnacentral:rRNA from 1 species